rnacentral:rRNA from 1 species
AGAGUUUGAUCCUGGCUCAGAGCGAACGCUGGCGGCAGGCUUAACACAUGCAAGUCGAACGGGCACUUCGGUGUCAGUGGCAGACGGGUGAGUAACGCGUGGGAACAUACCUCUUGGUUCGGAACAACACAGGGAAACUUGUGCUAAUACCGGAUAAGCCCUUACGGGGAAAGAUUUAUCGCCGAGAGAUUGGCCCGCGUCUGAUUAGCUAGUUGGUGUGGUAAAGGCGCACCAAGGCGACGAUCAGUAGCUGGUCUGAGAGGAUGAUCAGCCACAUUGGGACUGAGACACGGCCCAAACUCCUACGGGAGGCAGCAGUGGGGAAUAUUGGACAAUGGGCGCAAGCCUGAUCCAGCCAUGCCGCGUGAGUGAUGAAGGCCUUAGGGUUGUAAAGCUCUUUUGUACGGGAAGAUAAUGACGGUACCGUAAGAAUAAGCCCCGGCUAACUUCGUGCCAGCAGCCGCGGUAAUACGAAGGGGGCUAGCGUUGCUCGGAAUCACUGGGCGUAAAGGGUGCGUAGGCGGGUUUUUAAGUCAGAGGUGAAAUCCUGGAGCUCAACUCCAGAACUGCCUUUGAUACUGAAAGUCUUGAGUAUGGGAGAGGUGAGUGGAACUGCGAGUGUAGAGGUGAAAUUCGUAGAUAUUCGCAAGAACACCAGUGGCGAAGGCGGCUCACUGGCCCAUUACUGACGCUGAGGCACGAAAGCGUGGGGAGCAAACAGGAUUAGAUACCCUGGUAGUCC